rnacentral:rRNA from 1 species
UACAGAGGCCUCGAGCGUUAGGCGGAAUCACUGGGCUUAAAGCGUGUGUAGGCGGACUUCUAAGUACCUUGUGAAAUCCCACGGCUCACCCGUGGAACUGCUCGGUAUACUGGUCGUCUUGAGCCUUCUAGGGGCGAGUGGAACAAAUGGUGGAGCGGUGAAAUGCGUAGAUAUCAUUUGGAACGCCAAUGGUGAAAACAGGUCGCUGGGGACGCGCCGACGCUGAGACACGAAAGCCAGGGGAGCAAACGGG